rnacentral:other from 1 species
GCGCGGCUGCGGAGUGCGUCGGAAUAAUACUCCCGGGGCCUUACGAUCCUGAAGGGAGCUGUCCCUGACCGGACCCGUGGGUCCGGACAUAUGGCGCCCACCUACUUCUGUAGGUUCCCGGGGUCGCAAUCCGACGGCUCAUGCGGCUCCGCA